UUGCAUAACUAAAGCUGGCAGCUAGCUCUCUGCAACUCUCACAUGGUCACCCACUGAAGCUAAGCAGCGCUGCGCCUGGUCAGUACCUGGAUGGGAGACCACAUGGGAAAGCUUUUUGUUGUCCAGA
ensembl:rRNA 5S_rRNA 5S ribosomal RNA